rnacentral:rRNA from 1 species
AUUGAACGCUGGCGGCAGGCUUAACACAUGCAAGUCGAGCUAGCGGCGGACGGGUUAGUUAUGUCUGGGAAACUGCCUUAUGGAGGGGGAUAUCUACUGUACACGGUCUCUAAUAACGCAUACCCUCAGAUGUCACCAGAUGGGAUUGGCUAGUAGGUGGGGUAAUGGCUCACCUAGGCGACGACCCCUAUCUGGUCUGAGAGGAUGACCAGCCACACUGGAACUGAGACACGGUCCAGACUCCUACGAGAGGCAGCAGUGGGGAAUAUUGCACAAUGGGCGCAAGCCUGAUGCAGCCAUGCCGCGUGUGUGAAGAAGGCCUUAGGGUUGUAAAGCACUUUCAGCGAGGAGGCGUUACUCGCAGAAGAAGCACCGGCUAACUCCGUGCCAGCAGCCGCGGUAAUAC